UCCCCAGGCUCACGGCCUGCGCACGGCGCACCUGUGCGGCCUGCUCACCUGCAGUCUUUGAUCACCUGGUGGAUGUCGAACUCGAAGGCAGCCAGCAGGAUGCUGUCCAGAGGCUCGGGACCACUGCGAGUGUCCAGGAACAUGUCCAUGCUGGACUGGAGACACGAGAGGGACACUGUUUCAAUCCCUCUGGAGACAUUUCACUACCGAACACCCAGACCUGCCUCAAACGCUGUGUGUGAAAUACUGAAGCUCUUUAGAAACAGGGGAUCAGUGGGAGUGUUUUGGCAUUUUACCACCACCAAAGAAGAAGAGGGAAAAAAACAUGACCCAGGUCUGUGGACACAGCAGCGCAAGUCAGGUCAAGUAAGAGUUUAUUAUCCCACGUAGGGAAAUCUGUCUAAUUUCUUAACAUGCCUCAGUAAAAAUUAACUGGAGGACAUAAUCCCCAUCGCAACACAAGUCUUGCACAAACAUUACAUGUAUUAACAAGUCAACAUUCAACUACUACAACUAAAAAUCAGGUUCAAAUAACCAACAGACAGCCAAUAUAUACAUAAAUACAUGUAAACUUAAACUUCCUGAAACCUAGUAAGUGGCUCUGCAUUAUUUCAGUGCGUAAGUGACUGCACACUGAAGAAUGUAGGACAGAAACUCGUACGCUGUGUAUAUUUUUACAAUGCGAGCACCGCUCAGCUGUGACCCAUAGGGCGCGUGGUACCUGGGCGUAGUAAUGCAGUUCUGUGGGUUUAACCGUGGGAUGAGAAUACAGCAGCCGGGUCACCAGGAAGUGGUACCAGGUCCCCAGGAGGUCCUUGUGCUCGAGCAGGGUGUCCUCGUCACCAACCAGGAUCUACAAUAAGAGCCAACUAUGACCCGAGUGUGUACACACACAGCAGGCAGUGUGUGUACAAACACACGCGCACACACACAUACUAUACCCACACACACGCAUGCGCACACACAUACUGUACACACACACACACACACUGCCUAAUUCCAGGAGGUAAACAUGACAGCAGUGUUACAGAACAGCUUUGCUGUAGGCAUGGCGUGCAGCGUUCCGAUUGGACAAGCAGAGACUACCUUGCAGAUGGCCUCCAGGUGGCGGUUGCUGGCGAAGGAGUUGUCCUGGAGACAGCGGUCACACUCCUCGCGCCAGUGCCGCCACUCAACAUCGAACUCCGUCAGAGUCUGGGUCCCGCCCGGCUGCACAGGGAGACGGGAGCAGAGUUAACCAGGACAAGAACUGCUAACCAGGGCACAAACCGCUAACCAGGACACAAACCCGCUAACCUGCUAACCACGGCACAAACCGCUAACCUGCUAACCAGGAUACAAACCCGCUAACCAGGACACGAACCCGCUAACCUGCUAACCACGGCACAAACCGCUAACCUGCUAACCAGGAUACAAACCCGCUAACCAGGGCACAAACCGCUAACCAGGACAAGAACCGCUAACCUGCUAACCACGGCACAAACCGCUAACCUGCUAACCAGGAUACAAACCCGCUAACCACGGCACAAACCGCUAACCAGGACAAGAACCGCUAACCUGCUAACCAGGAUACAAACCCGCUAACCAGGGCACAAACCGCUAACCAGGACAAGAACCGCUAACCCGCUAACCACGGCACAAACCGCUAACCUGCUAACCAGGAUACAAACCCGCUAACCAGGACACGAACCCGCUAACCUGCUAACCACGGCACAAACCGCUAACCAGGAUACAAACCCGCUAACCAGGGCACAAACCGCUAACCUGCUAACCAGGGCACAAACCGCUAACCAGGACAAGAACCGCUAACCUGCUAACCAGGACAAGAACUGCUAACCAGUGCACAAACCGCUAACCCGGACAAGAACCUGCUAACCAGGGCACAAACCGCUAACCUGCUAACCAGGACAAGAACCGCUAACCCGCUAACCAGGAUGAGAACCGCUGACCAUCACUUCAGCACAACUUUGAGAAAAAUAGUCUUAAUGCUCCAAACCAGAAUCGAGUGGCACCAGAGCAAAGGCGACUCACGCUGAAGAUGGGCAUCUUCAUGAGGAGGGAGUCCAGGAGUUUAAACAUGGCCCUGGCAGCUGGCUGAAAUGA